GGAGUCCUCCCCUUAGCCACAGAAAGGGUACAGCUGAGACAGCAUCUGCACAAACACCCUGCCCACAGCCUCUGCCAGCCUGCCUCAGCUCCGACCUUGAGGAGUUGCCUUGAAGUGCAAGAGGGAAACUCC
rnacentral:sRNA from 1 species